rnacentral:rRNA from 1 species
UACGAAGGGGGCUAGCGUUGCUCGGAAUCACUGGGCGUAAAGCGCACGUAGGCGGAUUGUUAAGUCAGGGGUGAAAUCCUGGAGCUCAACUCCAGAACUGCCUUGAUACUGGCGAUCUUGAGUCCGGGAGAGGUGAGUGGAACUGCGAGUGUAGAGGUGAAAUUCGUAGAUAUUCGCAAGAACACCAGUGGCGAAGGCGGCUCACUGGCCCGGUACUGACGCUGAGGUGCGAAAGCGUGGGGAGCAAACAGG